rnacentral:snRNA from 1 species
AUGCUCACUUCAGCAGCACAUAUACUAAAAACUGGAACAAUACAGAAGUUAGCAUGGCCCCUGUGCAAAGAUGACAUGCAAAUUAGUGAUGCAGUGUCCAGAAAAAACAUACUU